GGAGUUAGCCGGUGCUUCUUCUGUGAGUGAUGUCCUUCCUGCCGGCUAUUAACCCGCAGGCCUUCUUCCUCACUGAAAGUGCUUUACAACCCGAAGGCCUUCUUCACACACGCGGCAUGGCUGGAUCAGGGUUGCCCCCAUUGUCCAAUAUUCCCCACUGCUGCCUCCCGUAGGAGUCUGGGCCGUGUCUCAGUCCCAGUGUGGCUGAUCAUCCUCUCAGACCAGCUACGGAUCGUCGCCUUGGUGAGCCGUUACCUCACCAACCAGCUAAUCCUACAUAGGCUCAUCCGAUAGCGCGAGGCCCGAAGGUCCCCCGCUUUCCCCCGUAGGGCGUAUGCGGUAUUAGCCUGGGUUUCCCCAGGUUAUCCCCCACUACCGGGCAGAUUCCUAUGCAUUACUCACCCGUCCGCCGCUCGCCACCAGGGAGCAAGCUCCCCGUGCUGCCGCUCGACUUGCAUGUGUUAGGCCUGCCGCCAGCGUUCAAUCUGAGCCAGGAUCAAACUCUGA
rnacentral:rRNA from 1 species